UACGAAGGGGGCUAGCGUUGCUCGGAAUCACUGGGCGUAAAGCGCACGUAGGCGGAUUGCUAAGUCAGGGGUGAAAUCCUGGAGCUCAACUCCAGAACUGCCUUUGAUACUGGCAACCUUGAGUCCGGGAGAGGUGAGUGGAACUGCGAGUGUAGAGGUGAAAUUCGUAGAUAUUCGCAAGAACACCAGUGGCGAAGGCGGCUCACUGGUCCGGUACUGACGCUGAGGUGCGAAAGCGUGGGGAGCAAACAGG
rnacentral:rRNA from 1 species